rnacentral:misc_RNA from 1 species
GUACGCUGACGAGGGAGAAGGGAUUUCAAUUAUCUUUGAGACGGAACGUUGGCUAUGCAAAUUACUUGAGUAGAAAGGGUCAUAUUUGACUUGAACCGUCCAAUUUCGCCGUGUCGACUGCAGCAGGGGAUUGGAAGACUAAGAGAUUUUAGAAAGCACUAGCUGUCGUACCUCAGAGAGCUCAGCAAAACGGCUUAGUGAUCUAACAAAACACCACUCGGAGACAGCAGUUAACACUUGCUUUUUAUCAGUUAAAAACGACAAAAUAAGGAUUAUAACAUCAGGACCAGAAGAUUAGGAUUCAAGGGUCUAGAAGAGAUAUACCACAUACAAGACUAGAAGAUCAAAGUUAAUAAAUUAAAAGAAUUUAAGAUCGAAAUAUAUGACGUAAUGAACUGGAAGAUCAGGAUUCAUGAUCUAAAAAAGUCUGACAUCAAGAUAUACGACUUAAAGGACUUUAAGAUCAGGAUUCAUGAGUUAGUAGUUUAAGAUCAAAAUAUACGAUUUAUAGACGUUUUAAGAGAUAAUUCUUCACAACGCAAAGAAGUUAAAGCUCAGAAUUCACAAUGCAGAAAUGUCAGAGGUCAUGAUUAACGACUUACACCGUAAGAGUAUCAAGAUUCACUACUUAUAGGCGUUUAAGAUACGUCUUCGUGACAUACAAUUAUCAAGUUAAAAAAUUCACGACAAAAAGGCGUCAACUUGCAUGGUUCGUGAUAUAAUAUAUCUUUUUGUUUCAAAUAUUCACGAAGAAAGGUAUGGAAGACGAGUAGUUAUAUUUUAAGAAGUGGAAGAUCAGAAUUAAUGGUUAAGAUGUUCAUUAAGUAAGCACAUUCGUACUGGAUGGAAUGUCAUAUGCUAGAAGUGAUUCUUGCAAAUACUUUAUAUGCUGUUAGAUAUACACGACUGUUUAAGUUUAAUGUGAAAGUUGUGAUUUAGAUAGUUUAUAUAGCGCGACUGUUAAAUUUAGUAUUCCUAGAAGUGAUAGUCUAUCGUAGGUUUGUUUGCCUAACUGUUUGCGAACCAUACAUUAUGUGAUUCAGUAGUUACGAAUUGGUGAUUGUUAUAUUAUUGCGUCAUGUUACUAAAAUCUUCUGAGUUGUUCUUGUUUUAUCUGAGUAUUAUUACAUCAUAAUAUCUAGUAGUGUGUCGAACGUUCUAGACCUCUGUCAGGGUAUAAAUACGCGUCAUAAUUUAGUUUGAAAGAUAGAUCUAGACUGAUUGAUUGUGAGUUUAGCAAUAAAGAGGGUAUAGUUACGAUUUAUGAAAUGAAAUUAUCACAGAUUGUAUUGUAAUAACAGAGUAGAGAAGAAUAAUUCGUCUUGUCAAUUGUAUUCUAAACUAAUGUGGACUUUAAUGAAAAAGAUACAAUUAUGUAAAGCUCUGGAUAAAAUUGUGAAAACCAACAGUGUAACGAACAUUUGUAUAUAUUUUUGACUUGUUUGAAUAUAUUA